GGGAAGUAUCAUGGAUGACUUCUGUGUGGUUGCAUGCUGUGGACCCUGUGCAAUGUGUCAAAUGGCAAGAGAACUCAAUAUUCACGGAAUCUAACCAUCAAACAUAAACAACAAACUUUUUAUAUCUUUUAAUAAAACUUUCUGUAAUGGAAUAUUAAGUAUUAUUUAGAAUCUAAAAUUGUAAUUGUUGAUUAGAUAAUUUGUUGUGCCUAUAUCAAAUGGUAAAACCAAUAAACAAAUGUAUGUAUAAUUU